GGCCAUUGUUCCAUCUGGCUCAUUAUUUUCUACACUGACUGGCAGUGACGUGACGCUAGAGCAGGAGACUCUUAAUCUCAAGGUUGUGGGUUCAAGUCCCACAUUGGGCA